rfam:Mumia flava strain MTSC 201 Contig20, whole genome shotgun sequence.
CGAGGCUCGUGCGGCGAGGUCUCUCGGCCGCUCGGCACACGCGCUGGCGCACCUUCCCCGGUGCCAGACCGUGACCAUCGAGCGGCCAGGGACCUGGUCGGACGAACCGAGGAGC